CAACUCUUGAAAGUUUGUAAUUAUGUUUAGAACAUAAUGGUUGGUUGACAAAAAUAGUCCAUCACAUGGACUUAUGAUGAUUUUGAAUCAUUGAGUGUUGAAGUGUUAAACCACUUCUAGAGACGGAAACUAAGCAAGGACUUCACCUUUGUGUCCCUAUCCAAAUGGUUCACUAAGUUUAUUGUAAACUAUAUAGUGAACAAUAACCACACACUCUCCAAAUCGUUGGAUGUGUAUAACACAAUUGAAAUAAGUUUCAAGAGAGAUAGUGGGAGUUUAGGGACCAUGACUAUUGUAGUCAAAGGAGAAGUCAAAUAAAGAAAGGGAAAUAACUCCAAGGGAACAAACUUUCUUUAUGAAAGGAUGGACAUUGGAAGGGGUAUUUGCAAGAAAUGUCUUGCAAGUGUCAAGAACACACCUUUCGAAUGUGUUGUAAAUUGUUCUUGAAUAGUUCAAAACAGUUGGUUCUUCUACUUGAAUGCUUGAUUCCGUAUUAGUAACUAUGUUUUACAAUCGUUGUAAAAGUGUGACUAAUAAGAAGUAGAAGAUAUAUGAGAGAAGAAAAAGGUGCUUCACAUUUGGAACGUGAAUAAAAUAUAGAUCUCUGCGAAAGCAGAUAGUACUUACUUCCUCAUAUGAACUACCAAAGAAAUUGGAAAAACCAAAGAUUGUCUUUACAUUCCAAUUUUAAGGAACUUAAUUCCGUCACUAUAGUAGAGAUGGAUGAAUGUUUUGUUUGACAAAACAUUGUUCCUUAUUAAUCAAUGAUUGGAUUAUAGUAAUCUAAUUGAUUGUCUCUAUAGUAGAGAUAAUGUGGUAGUGUUAACUGUUUAGAAUAUAAGGAUGCUUAAAACUCAAAAGGUUGCAAGAUAGUGACUAAUCCCAACUGAGUUGUGAUACCUCUAAAAACAUAAAAUACGAGUUGGUCAUAGAUGGAUGCUUUGGAUCGUUAGAUUCGGAUCCAAUACCUU
rnacentral:lncRNA from 1 species